rnacentral:SRP_RNA from 1 species
GCCGGGUGUGGUGGCAUGCACCUGUAAUCCCAGCUACUCGGGAGGCUGAGACAGGAGAAUCGCUUGAGCCCAGGAGACAGAGGUUGCAGUGAGCGAGAGCGCACCACUGCACUCCAGCCUGGGCAACAAGAGCGAAACUCUGUCUCAA